CUACAGUUGCCAUAGCCAAACGUCACUUUGGACCGAAAGUUUUCAAACGGCUCCUUUGAGGAAGACAUGAGGGCCGAAAUGUUGUCGUUUCUCUCAUAGCAGUGUACAAUUUAGCCAGCUGUUUUUAAAUAGAGCGUUUUGUGGACUGUUCACAGUCCCUGGUCUAAAGAUGGAAGGCUUGGAAAUGUCCGCUAUGAUACCUGCACUGCAGGAGCUAGCGAGAUGUCGCUGUUUCUCUCUCUGUCGCUGUUUCUUCUCGCCCAGUGUAUUGUGUGUGUGUGUGUGUGUGUGUGUGUGUGUGUGUGUGUGUGUGUGUGUGUGUGUUUCAGUGUCGUUGGAGCUGUCUAAGAGGUCCAGUUCAGAGCCAGCGUGUGUGAUGCUGUUAGACUUUGUUCAGCACAUUAUAAAGUCUUCCUCACUGAUGUUUGUCAACCCUGCCUGUCAGCUGGCCCACUUCAGACACACAGCAGAGCAGCACCGAGUUCAGUAGGUGGGUUGUCGGCAGGCUGCUGCGAGUCGCAGCAUCUCCAAGCUGUGAUGUCAUCCAUGGGCGUGUCUCGGCCGUUCUCUGCUCCUUACUGCACGCACUCAGACCGCGAGCACCAAUCACCUUCGACAUCAUCGCCAUAGAGAUGCUUGGAUUGGCCCAGGACCUCAGCAAUCUGCUCUACACACACACACACACACACACACACACACACACUCACACACCCCGGAAACACAUACACACUGUACAAACACACACACCUUGUGGCCGGAAACCCUGCAGUCUUUCUCUGUCUCUCUCACCCCUUAUCUCACCCCUCCUCCUCCCCUCGCCUGCCUCCUUGGAAACCCUGGUUGCAGUGACAGUGAACGCUCUGACCGACGCCCUCAGGGGAUUGGCCAGCCGCAGGGAGAUGGGGGUGGCUUGGAGGCGGGCUGUUUGGUCUUGGCCUAUGGGAAUGCUCGGUUAAGAAAGGUUGCUAUGGUGAUGCUGAGGCAAUUGGCGGAGAUUGUUGUGUUCCCGGAGAGGCGGAGUCAGGAGUUUUUUACAGCGUACCUGACGCUGCUGGACACACACACACCUGAGCCAGAGACAUAUGGGGGAGAGCUGCUGAAGCUGACGCAGUGUGUGUUUGGAUCUGCACACACACCUGCUCACACACACACACACACGUUUUGAGCGUACCCACCUGGCCCAGCUGUUGGAACAUGUGUGUGUUCUGGAAUCAGAGGUCAGCCAAUCGCUGAGCUUUGUCUUUAACUUCCUGUUGUGCGUUCCACCGGGAUACGAGAGCGCCCCGUCGCUACAGAGACAGAGAGUUACUGAUGUCUGCAGAACCCUCACACACUCCAUCGGGAUGGAGAAACAGUCUGAGGGGUUUCUUUACACUGCCCUGAAGGCUGAGGUUGCCGUGGUGAUGCAAGAGAGGGAGGAUGGAGAAACGGCUGCUAAGCGACCCUGUCUACCCAUCACCCCCCUGGCCAGCAAGACCCCCUAAACUCCCCCGAUGGAGGUGGACAUGCGUGUGUGUAGUGAGGUGUGAGCGGCAGGCUGGAUGACCUUCUGGCCUCUGGUGAACUGUGACCUUGACCCGACGACCCCUGAGCCUGACGCUGACCCUCAUAUGACCCUGAGAGCUCUGGAGGGACUCGCUCUCAUCCUGCACCUGGUAUCACACACACAUACCCAGAAGGUAACACACACACACACACCAGGUAUCACACACCCCACAUUAUCUCUCACACAGAUCUUUCUAUCUCUCUCUCUCUGUCCUCCAGCUCCUCCUCUCCUGUGGCUGUCUGUCUCCACUCUGGGCAGGGCUUUGGAAACCUGUCAAUCACUACUGGGCGGGGCUAAGUCUACCGCUGACCACGCCCGUAUACAGUCUGCCAUCCAGCUGGCUGUCAGAAUACUGGACUCCAUCAUCUACCUAACAAGUAAAGGGUUGAGGAAGUUCAUUCUUCCUAAGACUGCAUGGUUUGAGGAGAAGUUGAAGGUCCAUAAGGUCCUCCUGUGUGCCAGACACCCCCCUGUCUUCUAUGAAUGGUUCCUCCGAACCUUCCCUGACCCCACCACAUGGUACAGCAGCAGGUCAGCCUACUGUCUCUCCACUGCGGUGAUGUCCGUGGUGGGCUACAUCCUGGGUCUUGGAGACCGCCAUGGAGAGAACAUCCUGUUUGACUCAUUCACCGGGGAGUGUGUUCACGUCCACUUCAACAAGGGUGAGACGUUUGAUGUUCCGGAAGUGGUUCAGAACCACCUGUGAAGUCACACUACGCCUGAUGAGAGACCAGAGAGAACCGCUCAUGAGAGCCUCCUCAGAUCAACAUGUGCCAAACUAGCCCACCAGUGUACUGAAGACGUUUCUCCAUGACCCUCUGGUAGAGUGGAGUGAACCCAAAGGCCGAUCCAAGACACAGGCCAGUGAGACUGGAGAGAUAGUCAACGAGAAGGCCAAGACCCAUGUGUGUGAGACUGAUCAGCGUUUGCAGGGCGUGAUAAAGAGUCGUCACAAGGUGUUGGGUCUGCCUCUGUCUAUAGAGGGACACGUCCACUACCUCAUACAGGAGGCUACUGACGACAAACUACUGUGUCAGAUGUACCUGGGCUGGGGACCUUAUCUGUAAUACACACUGCUUCUCUGAGAAACUCUUUACAAAUUCAAUAUUUUACUUGUUCUGUUAUCCAUGAAGUUCUUUUUCAUGUUUUUGUAAAUCCGGAGUAAUUGUUAUGUUUUUCAUGGGGCAGUUGCAUAUUUGACCAUAAUAAAAAUAAAAAGUUGUAUUUUUUUAAA